GAUGAACGCUGGCGGCGUGCUUAACACAUGCCAGUCGAACGAAGCACUUUAUUUGAUUUCCUUCGGGACUGAUUAUUUUGUGACUGAGUGGCGGACGGGUGAGUAACGCGUGGGUAACCUGCCUUGUACAGGGGGAUAACAGUUGGAAACGGCUGCUAAUACCGCAUAAGCGCACAGCAUCGCAUGAUGCAGUGUGAAAAACUCCGGUGGUAUAAGAUGGACCCGCGUUGGAUUAGCUAGUUGGUGAGGUAACGGCCCACCAAGGCGACGAUCCAUAGCCGACCUGAGAGGGUGACCGGCCACAUUGGGACUGAGACACGGCCCAAACUCCUACGGGAGGCAGCAGUGGGGAAUAUUGCACAAUGGGCGAAAGCCUGAUGCAGCGACGCCGCGUGAGCGAAGAAGUAUUUCGGUAUGUAAAGCUCUAUCAGCAGGGAAGAUAAUGACGGGACCUGACUAAGAAGCACCGGCUAAAUACGU
rnacentral:rRNA from 1 species